UACGUAGGGUGCAAGCGUUGUCCGGAAUUAUUGGGCGUAAAGAGCUCGUAGGUGGUUUGUCGCGUUGUUCGUGAAAACCGGGGGCUUAACUCUCGGCGUGCGGGCGAUACGGGCAGACUGGAGUACUGCAGGGGAGACUGGAAUUCCUGGUGUAGCGGUGGAAUGCGCAGAUAUCAGGAGGAACACCGGUGGCGAAGGCGGGUCUCUGGACAGCAACUGACGCUGAGGCACGAAGGCCAGGGGAGCAAACGGG
rnacentral:rRNA from 1 species